GGGGUUGUGGCUCAGUGGUAGAGUGCUCACCUAGUAUGUGUGAGGUACUGGGUUGAAUCCUCAGCACCA
rnacentral:tRNA from 1 species